rnacentral:lncRNA from 1 species
UAGGCAUCUUUUUCAAGCCAGUCAAAAUCCCUCCAUCUCCAUCUAGCGAUGAGACCUUCCGUCCGUACCUAUUUGAAAAGCCGCUUGAUAGCAGUUCCUUUUCCCUUUUUGGUUGAGGGGAAAGAUCGAAGACAAGACCUUCCAGGCAUUUCCUUCAAUCUUCUCCACCAGCGAGUGCUAGUUUCCCUACCAGUUGCCAGCUAUCUAGUUGAAGUCUUUUUUCUGCCUUUUUCAGGUAGGAGUCAAGCAAGGCAGUUUUCUAGCCAGCUAGGACUAGAGCAAAGCAAGGUCAGCCUGAGGUCAAUCCAGAAAGCCGGUAAGAGAGUUGAAACUGAGAAUAAGAUAACUUAACAUAACUUAAGAGACUCCAUUUUUUCUUUUCCAGCUUCUCCAAUUGAGUCUAUUUUUUCAGAAAAAGAAAGUGCUUUUGGAAUCACUCAACCUUUCGAUCAAGACAGGAGGGCAUUGCUUCCUUUCACCGAGUGUGGGCUCGAUCCCAUCUCUGGUACUGGUAUCCCUUUCCCUUCCUCUAGUUAGUUACUUGGCUCCCCAGACUUCUUCCUUCUAGGCGAGUCACCUUCGGUUCAAUAGUAGCGGCAUUCUUUUCUUGACUAUUUUCAUCUUUCUCUGAGUUGGCUGUAGCAUUGAAAACUCUUUAAGCGGAAUGAGAACAAAAUCCUCAGCAAAAGACAAGUCCGCAAUGGAAGAAAGAAACGGCCCUUCGAAGCGUGAAAAAGAAAUGCUGUAAAUGAGAUGACCCAGAAUGCCGAUCAAUUAUUGCUUUCAAGCCAGAGGCGAGGGGCAACGGCAACAACCGGGGAUGAUGUUGAUGCUGGACCAGUGUCACGGUCCGCGUGUUUUUCAUUUUGAAACCACGCGUCCAUGCGACAUUAAAACUACUCAUAAUCGAUGUCAAUCUUCUGUGAGUCCAUUUUUUUCCUGGAUAGUUUAAUUUCAAUCCUUCCAAUCGCAUACACAGGAGCCUUUUCUUUGGCUUUGACCCGUAGGGUUAUUCAUUCCGAACUUUAUAGGGAGGAACCCAACUCCCAUCACUCAUCAGCUCACGAUUCUCAAAGUGGCCUUGAGCACCCAUCUCGCCCUGCAGGGUUUAAGGUCUCGAGCAUUGACCCUUGAAUACUCGUGGGGCACGCAGCCUCAGUUCUCAUUAUAUUAUUACUUCUUAACACGGUGAGAACCCAACAGCAUGCCCACCCGUAUCGUACGCAAACUCUCGUAUCAAGUUUACGCAAGUGUCACACUUAAGCUGGUCAGCAGCCAGCUCAAAGCCUUUAGACUCAUCUCAUCCCACGAGACUCAGUUCUUAGGGCUUAGGCCAAUAGCAUCAGUGUAGGCCACCCACACGCAUGAUUGACACCCAACAUCAUGCUAGUCUCGUAAGGGGGACUUGGGUGGACUGCCCCAGCUGUAGCACACCUCUACCAAUUGGUCAUAAAGGUCUAAUAGUGUGCCUGCCUGCUAGCCCACACAUCCUUCAGGCUCGAUAGCAUCCCUCCUAUACAAACACCAUCUCAUGAUCCUUCUGGCUCAAGGAAGGGAAAUCGAGGGGCAUAGUAAACUUUACCAUGUAACCCCAUGGCUCAACGCAAAGGGGCGAUACGAGGCUCGUCGACCCCAAUCGUCCUCGGGUUUACCAUGACCCGAGGAAACAUCGUGCCACGCUCGUGACCCUACAAUGCCCGCCCACCUAGACACCACUAGUGCCUAGGAGUAGCUCACUUCAGACUAGCCAGGCCCCUACCUGCCCGCUAGCCAAGGGGGUGGUGAAGAGCUGACACCAGACAUCCCCUAUAAAAAGCGUAAGAGAUUUUUCCAGUCUCCUACCAAUAACCAUAAGAUUGUCCAAAAUGGGAACACUUUUCUCUCCAGCCAUCUCAAGACCUAUCUCUGGUUAACUCAGGGCCCCAUAACCUUCUUCUUGGUCACCAUUAUUCCUUAAUUCUACUUGUUGCUCCAUCAACCCACUCGAAGGUGCCCGUACAUGGCUUCAACCGACAGCACCUGACUGACUAGCUAGUCUCAAGGCACCGGUGUAUUGUCUCACACUUACCUGCGUAUCUUGGAGUUUAGGACUCAGACUAUCCACGCACAAUAUCCCUAACAUAUUUCCAUGCUCAGAAUGCUCGCACACUGCUUCCACUGAUGGCACCUGUCGGGUUAGUUGGCUUGAGGGUGCUUGGCGACUAUCCUGAACUUAUCCGUGUAUCUUACAGUCUAGGGUUCUCACUGCCCGCACAACAUAUUAAUAACAUGUUCCAAUGCUCCAAAUGCAUGCCCGCAUCUCUCAGAAUCACUUUUUCAUCAGCUUGGUCUAGAUCGCUACUCAGUUCAGGGUUAGUCAUGGCAGGACCAAGGCCUGACCAUGACACUCUCCCCCACUUACUAUGUCGAUGCCCUCAUCGACGCCAAGACCACACCCAACUCUCUUGUUGCACACAGUCGACAUUUACUCAUAUGUCUCUCACUUGUGCCCUUAAGGAUUGGGUCGAGAUCCCGUUACAUGGGGCACUACCCAUAGUACCCAUCCAUUGUUGAUGUAGAUUGGUCACAUACCAGCACCAAUGCACCUCUGCUCUAUUCCUACUCGAACCAUCUCACCCUAUCUUGGUUGCUCCAUAUGUGCCACAACAUUGCUUCCCUUUGAUCAUAUCACAUUGUGACCUUGAGGCACCCUCAUUGUUCAAUGACUCUUAGUAGAAUGAAUGACCACCCACUUUGCCACUCAUUGGUGUGUCCUACUGGACGUGACCCCUCACACCAACUGCACGCCUGCAGCAUCGACUCUUUGAUGUGCCCCUCUGGACGUGGUGUUUAGGUCAACCGCACUCAUACGGCACCCCACACGAUAGACCUUAGCACAGUGACAUUCAGGCACUUUGGUUAUCUCUGAACUUGGGUUCUCUCGACCCCUCCAAGGUCACCUCUCUAGGUGUGGCCCUCUGGCCAACCGCCCCUGAGACGACACCUUAAUGCGCGCUAACUCGAUCUCUGCUCCUAGCUCGAACACUAUGCUCUAUUUGCUCAGGCCCCUCUAUCUUGGCUCAAUCUCACAGGGAAAUCACAAGUCUCCCUCACUUUUACUCGAAACUCCACUAAGCAUUAUACGUAACCAUGUUUCCUCGAUGGAUCUACUGCUCGUCUGCCUUGACUCUAGCAUAGCUCCUAUGGCAUCUCAAAAUCCACUCAUACUCAGAAAUCCACUGAUUUGCUGACUCAGGGAUUCACCAACCCAUUCAAUUCUCAAGGUCCAUCGACCCACACCAUCUGAAGGCUUUGUCAACUGGCCAAUUCCCAAUUAUUUGUUCCACUAGAAUACACUCUGUCGUGGCCCUUCUGACCACCACUACAUGUGAAGCUUUCCCUCUUGGCCAACACAAACUCAGUUCAUUGAUUCACACACUCUCGUGAUCCUCUGACCAUGAGAACUCAUGAUCUACUAACCAACAUAGCUCAUGGUCCAUCGACCAUCUCGCUUGUGGCUUCAAUCUUUAGCCACUCCAUACUCUUCUAUGUAAGGACUCCAUGCUUGGACCCGAAUACUUCGGCUUGCACCCCCGCUGGGGCACCUGCACCAUACAACAAGUGCACACAUUAGUAAUUAAUUUUGAAACUCAAUACCUCUCGCCCCUCAGAACAAGAUUCACUCGACCCACAUGGCCUUACAUAACACCAUUUCAUGGUGUAAGCCCUUUUUCGCAUGUCUCACUACGAUUUCUUCCACCGUAAAGGCAUCACACGCCCCAAAACAUGCCAACAUCAUUUUCUAGGUGAGGCCAGACUCCGAUGCCCUUUUGCUUGGCAUCCAAGAGCCCACUCGAGAGCUUUUUUACAUAGGCUCAAUUUUUCUUGCAGCACGCAUCGUUGACUCCUUUCCAAGCCCCCAUAGCCACAUAACCACAUUUGCAUCUUGAUAGCUCAUUUUGACCUUGGCACCACCUCUAUUUCACAUCACCAGGCCCAUACAUGGGGUCAUGUAAAUCUCACCACUGAGCCAAACCAAGGCUCUGAUACCACAUGUCACGGUCUGCAUAUUUCUCAUUCUGAAACCACGUGUCCGUGCGGCACCAAGACUACUCAUAAUCGAUGUCAGCCUUUCGUGAGUCCAUUAUUUUUCUGGACAGCUUAAUUUCGAUCCUUCUAGCCAUAUACACAUGAGCCUUUUCUUUGUCUUUAACCCCAUAAGGUUACUCAUUCUAAACUUUAUAAGGAGGAACCCAACUCCCAUCACUCAUCGGUCCAUAAUUAUCAAAGUGGCCCCGAACACCCAUCUUUGCCUGCAGGGCUUAAGGUCUCGAGCGUCGACCCUUGAAUACUCGUGGGGCACGCAGCCUCGGUUCUCAUGAUAUUAUUACUUCUUGACAUGGUGAGAACCUAAUACCAUACCCGUUUAUAUCAUAGCAAACUCUCGUAUCAAGUUUACAUAAGCGUCACACUUAAGCUAGUCAGCAGCCAGCUCGGAGCCUCUAGGCUCAUCUCAUCCAACGGGACUCAGUUCUUAGGGCUUAGCCCUUAGCAUCAAUGUAAGCUGCCUGCACGCAUGAUUGACACCCAACAUCAUGCUAGUACUGUAAAUGAGACUUGGGUGGACUGCCCCAGCUGCAGCACACCUCUAUCAAUUGGCCAUAAGGGUCUGACAGCGUGCCUACCUACUAGCCCACACUCAAUGGCAUUCUUCCUACGCAAACACCAUCUCAUGAUCCUUCUAGCUCAAGGAAGAGAAAUCGAGGGCAUCAUAAACUUUACCAUGUAACCCCAUGGCUCAACGAAAAGCACGAUAUGAGGCCUACUGGCCCUAACCAUUUUCGGGUUUACCAUGACCCGAGGAAACAUCAUGCCACGCUCGUGACCUUACGAUACCCGUCCACCUAGACACCAUUAGUACCUAAGAAUAGCUCACUUCAGACUAGCCAGGCCUCUGCCUACCCUCUAACCAAGGGGGUGGUAGAGAGCUGACACUAGACAUCCCCCCUAUAAAGAGAGUAAGAGAUUUUCUCAAUCUCCUACCAGUAACCAUAAGAUUGUCCGAAAUGGAGACACUUUUCUCUCCAGCCAUCUCAAGACCUUUCUCUGGCUAACUCAAGGCCCCAUAACCUUCUUCUUGGUCACCAUUAUUCCUUGAUUCUACUUGUUGCUCCACCAACCCACUCAAAGGUGCCCGCAUAUGGCUUCGAUCGACAGCACCUGAUUGGCUAGCUGGUCCCAAGGCACUGGCGCACUGCCUCACACUUACCUACGUAUCUUGAGGUUUAGGACUCAGACUAUCCACGCACAAUAUCUUUAAUUUAUUCUCAUGCUCAGAAUGCCCGCACACUGCUUCCAUUAAUGGCACUCACCGAGCUACUUGGCUUAAGGGUGCUUGACCACUGUCCUGAAUUUACCUGCGUAUCUUGCAGUCUAGGGCUACCACUGCCCGUAUAACAUAUUAGUAACAAGUUCCAAUGCUCCAAAUGCAUGCCCACAUCUCUUAGAACCACUUUUCUGCUAGCUUGGUCUCGAUCGUUGCUCAGUUCAAGGUCAGUCAUGACAGGACCAAGGCUUGACCAUGAUAACCAGCUUAUUCACUUAUUCACCCGAUGAUCAAAAGAGAUUCCCAGAAAACUAGGGCCUGAGAGAGUCCUAGUUGGAAGGCGAAUGAAAACCCCCCAGCCAUUCGCCUUGAGAACCCCUGAUGAGCCCACCAGCUCCAGCCCACCGAGAUGACACUUCCAUCAAAGUUAAGCUUGACCCAGUCCCCUGUCGGCGGCUCCCAUCUGACAAGAACUAUAACUUCUUCUCGGUCUUUACUGGGGGCCUGCACUACUUCAUUGCAGGUUCGACUGAUGAGGUACUUCAGGCUGAUUCUACUGCCUUGCUUUCAAAGACAAAUCUGUUGCAGGCCUGACAAAAAAAAACUAGAGAC